rnacentral:rRNA from 1 species
GACGAACGCUGGCGGCGUGCUUAACACAUGCAAGUCGAACGGAAAGGCCCUGCUUUUGUGGGGUGCUCGAGUGGCGAACGGGUGAGUAUCACGUGAGUAACCUGCCCUUGACUUUGGGAUAACUUCAGGAAACUGGGGCUAAUACGGGAUAGGAGUUCCUGCUGCAUGGUGGGGGUUGGAAAGUUUCGGCGGUUGGGGAUGGACUUGCGGCUUAUCUGGUUGUUGGUGGGGUAGUGGCUUACCAUGGCUUUGACGGGUAGCCGGCCUGGGUGGGUGACCGGCCAAAUUGGGACGGAGAUACGGCCCAGACUCCUACGGGAGGCAGCAGUGGGGAAUAUUGCGCAAUGGACGGAAGCCUGAUGCAGCAACGCCGCGUGCUGGGUGACGGCCUUCGGGUUGUAAACCGCUUUCGCCUGUGACGAAGCGUGAAUGACGGUAAUGGGUAAAGAAGCACCGGCUAACUACGUG